rnacentral:tRNA from 1 species
GCUGAAAUUGCUCAGUUGGGGAGACCGUUAGACUGAAGAUCUAAAGGUCCCUGGUUCAAUCCCGGGUUUCGGCA